rnacentral:rRNA from 1 species
CCUACGGGAGGCAGCAGUGGGGGAUCUUGCACAAUGGGGGAAACCCUGAUGCAGCGACGCCGCGUGCGUGAAGAAGUAUUUCGGUAUGUAAAGCUCUAUUAGCAGGGAAGAAAAUGACAGUACUUGACCAAGAAGCCUCGGCUAACUCCGUGCCAGCAGCCGCGGUAAUACGUAGGGGGCAAGCGUUAUCCGGAUUUACUGGGUUUAAAGGGAGCGUAGGCGGUUAUGUAAGUAUGGAGUGAAAGCCCGGGGCUCAACCCCGGGACUGCUGUGGAAACUGUGUAACUGGAGUACAGGAGGGGCAGGCGGAAUUCCUGGGGUAGCGGUGAAAUGCGUAGAUAUCAGGAGGAACACCGGCGGCGAAGGCGGCCUGCUGGACUGAAACUGACGUUGAGGCACGAAAGCGUGGGGAGCAAACAGGAUUAGAUACCCCUGUAGUC